UGGGGAAUUUUGGACAAUGGGCGAAAGCCUGAUCCAGCAAUGCCGCGUGUGUGAAGAAGGCCUUCGGGUUGUAAAGCACUUUUGUCCGGAAAGAAAUCCUUGGCUCUAAUACAGUCGGGGGAUGACGGUACCGGAAGAAUAAGCACCGGCUAACUACGUGCCAGCAGCCGCGGUAAUACGUAGGGUGCAAGCGUUAAUCGGAAUUACUGGGCGUAAAGCGUGCGCAGGCGGUUUGCUAAGACCGAUGUGAAAUCCCCGGGCUCAACCUGGGAACUGCAUUGGUGACUGGCAGGCUAGAGUAUGGCAGAGGGGGGUAGAAUUCCACGUGUAGCAGUGAAAUGCGUAGAGAUGUGGAGGAAUACCGAUGGCGAAGGCAGCCCCCUGGGCCAAUACUGACGCUCAUGCACGAAAGCGUGGGGAGCAAAACAGGAUUAGAUACCCUGGUAGUCCACGCCCUAAAACGAUGUCAACUAGUUGUGGGGAUUCAUUUCCUUAGUAACGUAGCUAACGCGUGAAGUUGACCGCCUGGGGAGUACGGUCGCAAGAUUAAAACUUAAAUGAAUUGACGGGGU
rnacentral:rRNA from 1 species